GGAUAAAGGCAAACUGCCAAUCACGCGUAUCCUUGACGACCUUCUAACCCCCCUUCUAGACGUAACGGAUCAGAGCGCGUUACUUUAUGUCCCGGUGCUACAGAACGCGGACUUCCAGGGACUUUUAUAACACCGGUUGGGGUUACGCGCUACCGAUCCAGGGUCAGUGUUUACUUCCUGUGUGGGCAGAUCCAGGGUCAGUGUUUACUUCCUGUGUGGGCAGAUCCAGGGUCAGUAUGGAGGAGGAAGAGCUGCUGAAGGAGAGACUCCAGGCCAUCACGGAGAAGAGAAGGGUGCAGGAGGACAUUGCUCUGAAGAAGCAGGAAAUAGACAAGGACAAGCUGAAGCUGCAGCACCUGAAGAAGCGGUUCCUCAGGGACCAGUGGCUGAUGGAGGGCUCCUCAGCGCUCAGCUCCCAGCAGAAACAGAGCCUGAGAGACGACCAGACACACACCAGGCUGCUGCAGGGCAGCAUACACAGGAUGGAGAAGGAGGUCGAGGAGCUGGAGAGGGAGGAGUCUAUGAUCUCCACCAAUGAGAGCUUCAUCCUGAAGAGACUGAAAGCUGUAGAGAAAACUUCAGAGGAUAUCAUCAAGGAAGCAAAAAAGAACUUCAAAGAAGCAGAGCUCCUCCAGUUCCCCCCAGAGGCGCCGCUGUCCUACAGACCCCUGAACUACAGACUCUCUGACACACACACAGACCGCGACCAGCCCAAGCAGACUCUCUUCGCCAUGGAAAUCAAUGUCCAGAAAGACCGACGCACGGGAGAGAGCAGGGUCAUCUCCACGGCAACCGUCACCCCCCAGGAGCUGCAGCAGCGCGGGGUCAAAGUUUACGACGAUGGCAGGAAGUGCGUGUACGCCAUGCGCUGUGACGGGCCGGGGGCGGGGCCGGGGGCGGGGCCGGGGGCGGGGCCAGGGUCACAUGGUGUGGACGAGCUGAGCUCCAGCGAGGUGGAGCAGCUCCUGAGAGACGCUACUGAGAGGAAACACCAGAGGGCGCCACAGCGCAGCGACACCAGCUGCAGCCACCAGGGGGAGCUCUCCACCAGCAGCAGAGCACUGUCUCUCCCUGCAGUACCUCCCACCAACCACAGGGGCAGCAGAGGGCAGAGCCUUAGCCAAUCCAACCGCAGAGUAAAUGGACACCAGCUGUCACAUGACCACAACCAGGAAGUGUUCUCCGGAACAGAGAGCUGCUACCUUGAGGCCAAUCACAUUCCAGCCCGGUCUUACCUCAGCAGCGAGGACAAGUACUACCAGCCAGUCGACAGCUACCGUCAACAGCAAGGCCACACCCCUUCCUACUCAGACCUGUACCGCCUCCCAGCUGACAGCCAACCGUCUGCCAUCUUCUAUAACUCCGCCUACCCGGACCGGUGCCCCUCCCCUCUCUACGAGGACGACGCCCCCUUCCGCAUACUCAACGCCCUGCCGGUCAAUCCGGACGUGUCAGAGCCGGUCACCGCCAUCUUCAUGGGCUUCCAGACGGCCGAGGACGACAGUGGGCGGGGCCUGGGCUACGAGGGUUCCAUUAAGGCGGAACUUGUCGUCAUCGGCGACGAUGAUGACGACGGCGGCGAGUCUCACGUUGGGCGCCCGGCCGAGGGUUACCGUAACUACGGUUACCAGCAAGGCCAGCGAGGGGUGGAGCCUAAGGCCGCUAACUGCAAUGGCGGCGGUGUGCGAGGGCGGAGGCCGUGGAAGGGGGUCUGCAAGCAGGAGGGCCGAUCAGAGCGACGCCUCAGAGAGGGGAAGACGAACGCAGGUAACAGGAAGAUCAGCAACACCCAGAAACACUGCUGCUCCGUCAUGUGAACAACUAACUAGACACACACUAACCUAACUAACCACGCUGCUAACAGUUUACUGGGCUAACUAACCACCUGCUGGUUAACUGGACUAUCUAACCACCCUGCUGGUUAACUGGACUAACUAACCUACAGCUGGUUAACUGGACUAAUAUUGCUGUCAUUGUCCUUUCCUUCGAACCCCAUGACUACCAGCGCAUCAUCUGCUAAUGGAAAUCUCUGUUUGACAGUAUUUUACACCUUUGUCUUAACUGUAGCGCAGCAUAGCUUAGCUUCCUCCUGUGUGACGUCAUCAUAGAGCUAAGAUUAGGUAUAGUGUGCUCCUGGAGAGAUACCCUCCUGUAGGGUUACACUCAAACUCUGCUCCUGGAGAAGUGGUCUCUCACCAGUAAUACAGAGACUGGAGACCAUGCUCUAGCUCCCUCUAGUGGCUGAACUAUGUCAUUACAUUUAGGCCAUUGACGUCUGAUAACUGGUAUAUAGCUUUUAGAAUGAUUAUUUAAAAUUACGCUUUCAUAAAUGUUGUAGUUUUUUUACUUUUGGAUUAAAGAACAAAGAUUG